UAGAUGAAUGCUCGCUGGCUUGAGCGCCUAGCUGUUAACUAGGAGUCUGUAGGAUCGAGGCCUUCUCAUCUAG
rnacentral:tRNA from 4 species